AUUAAUAUUCAACAGCAUAGUGAAUUGCUCAAAGGCAAAAAAAAUAUUUUAAGUUCAUUAGACCACAUUCAUUCUGUGUCAGAAACCUAUGCUGUGUCAAUUAUUUAAUCACAAUCCAAAUUUAGAGCUGAAUCCAGCUUAAAAGAGGGACGAAAGAUACCAAAGGGACAGUCAAACUCGUAAAUCUAAAACAAACUGACAACGCCAUGGCUAAAAAUGAAAAAGACAAACAGAAAAACAAUAGUACACACGACACAGCAUAGAAAACUAAAGAAUAAACAACACGAACCCCA
rnacentral:lncRNA from 1 species